AUUGAAUACUGCAGUCACGUAUCAGAUGAGAUCAGUAUCACAACAUUACGUCUGUUUGAGGAGCUUCUACAGAAGCCAAACAGAAACAUCUUGACCAGUCUGGUGCCGCAGAAUCUUGAGAAUCGCAGCUAUAGGCUGCCUGCAUCAUGAGCUGGGGAUUAAAGACAAGGAGGCAAGCCAGAUCUUUCAGAAGUAUCAGAUGUGCUAACACGGCAACCACCACCACCCCACCACCACCAGUUGAGUCCCGUCCUGCACAGGGGUAGGCUCCUCCCCCUGCCUCCUAUCUCCGGCAGGAUAUGACGGUUCCGAGUACAACUUCUUUGGACCACCAGACGGGGCCUACGCCAAAGAGAGAGACAUUACUUUUCUGUUUUAUAUUCAUCAAAUAAAUGCCAUCUUAAGUUUCACUCAAGUCUGCAAGUCUUCCUGAUAGAAAUGAAAGUCAUUUUUUAUGAGUUAGAUUGUAGAAAUUAAGGCUGGGUAUUGAUACAGACUUCCAGAUUAUUUUCCGAUUCACAAGCUCUUGAUUCGAUUCUUCUAAUAUGGGUAUAUUUCUGUUAUAAUGUCCCUUUUGCUUACAGAUGAAAUAAAUUAUCUCCCAGCUAAUGCUGUUAAUUAUACAGGGGACCUUCUAACUAGUUAUUAGUCUAACUAAAAAUAUUAAUUUACUAAUUACAGUAUAUUUUACUAGUUUUUCAU